UAUAAUUCGGCUUUUGGCCUAUUUCAUCUAAUAAAAAAAUAUAAAAUCAUUUAAAAAAUAAUAUAUUCACUUGAUAUGCAUUAUAUAGUAAAAUAAUUUCACAAGAAAAUAAAACAUUUUAAUUACCAAAAGAAUAUUUAAUAAUAAUAUUAAAUAUUUAACUCUCAGCUCUGUUACUCUCUAUCAUUUUUCUUCGUAACACAAAUUAGAGCAUUCCUAAAAACUGUGAAACUGAACAAGUAACAACAUUUACACUUUUUCCUGUACAGCACGUAAUCACAUUUUUAUAAAAAUUGUAGUAUUGACUGCAGUCCCCUGGCUCAACCACUCAUUAUUGAGAAAAUCUUUGUUUUAUCAGUAUAUAUAUAUGCAUGUGAUACCACUAAUAGUUUUCUAACACCAUAAAUUAUUAACACCAUAGAUUAUUUCUGCCUAUCCGAAACUUGGCUGCAUAAAAUUCCCCUACUGCUGCGCUUUUAGUUCCGGGGUACGUCUCCUACAGGAGAGAUCGAGCUGAUGCUAAAGGGGGAGGGGUAAUGAUCUAUGUGAGAGACAGUAUACAGUGCAGUGAAAUUCAGUGGAAAUCCCCAAUUGAUUUAGAAUGUGUUGGGUUAAAUUUAUCUCUUGCACCUCAGAUGUCUCUCACAUUAAUAGUUUUAUAUCGACCACCAUCUGCUAACAUAGAUUUUUAUGACAAGUUCAAGGAAAUGUUAAAGCAGUGUGAUUUUAAAAAGGAGGUUAUAGUGAUGGGCGAUUUUAAUUUACACUGGGAUGAUAACAGUACAAGGAAAAAACUGCAGCAAAUUGUGGAUGGAUUUAAUCUUGUCCAGAUGGUUAAAAGACCAACACGGAUUACAAACAAUUCUAGCACCUUAACACCUCAGAUGUCUCUUAAAUUAAUAGUUUUAUAUCGACCACCAUCUGCUAACAUAGAUUUUUAUGACAAGUUCAAGGAAAUGUUAAAGCAGUGUGAUUUUAAAAAGGAGGUUUUAGUGAUGGGCGAUUUUAAUCUACACUGGGACGAUAACAGUAUAAGGAAAAAACUGCAGCAAAUUAUGGAUGGAUUUAAUCUUGUCCAGAUGGUUAAAGGACCAACACGGAUUACAAACAAUUCUAGCACCUUAAUUGACUUAAUCUUCACCAAUCACCCGGAACGGAUUACAAAAUCGUACAAUAUGUUAACUGGUCUUUCAGAUCAUAACAUGGUGCUUAUAACAAGAAAAUUAACCAGUAAGCGAUUUGUAGCUCAUUCCGGAAAAAAGGAGUUCAUUGGCAUUCCUAGGAGCAAACAGGAUCAAUUUCACUCUGCAAUAAGAAAUAUGAACUGGGACACUCUAUUAUUGGACAAUGAAUUGGAAAUAAUUAGUCAGAAAUUUACUGAAUGCUUACAAACAAAAAUUAAGGAAUUUGCAGUGACAGUUAAACAUAAAAAUAGAAAGUGUUCACUUCCCUGGCUCAGUGAUGAUAUUAAACAGUUAAUGAAAGAUAGAGACAAUGCUCUUAAAAAAGCCAUAAAAUCAAAACUAUCGUGUGAGAGACAAAAAUUUGCUUCAUUACGAAAUAGAGUGAUAAGACAACUACGAAAAGCAAAGGCAGACUUUUUUAUCACAAUUAUUAAAAAUUGUCAUGGAAACUCAAAAGCGACUUGGGAUCAGAUUAAUAAAUUAACAGGUAAAACUUCUUCUAGUAAUAAUUCAAUACAGCUAAAGAAUAAUGGCAUGCUUUUGCAGGAUCCAUCUGCUGUGGUACAGACACUAAAUGAGUAUUUUGUUGAUUCUGUGGAUACCAUAGCUAAAAGUUUCUCUGUGAAAUAUAACAACUUACCUGUCAUUACUUCAGAUUUGUUAAUUGAGCCCCCACUAUAUAAAACUUCUUCUAGUAAUAAUUCAAUACAGCUAAAGAAUAAUGGCAUGAUUUUGCAGGAUCCAUCUGCUGUGGUACAGACACUAAAUGAGUAUUUUGUUGAUUCUGUGGAUACCAUAGCUAAAAGUUUCUCUGUGAAAUAUAACAACUUACCUGUCAUUACUUCAGAUUUGUUAAUUGAGCCCCCACUAUAUCCAAAAUCUGUAACUAUAUCCGAUGUGGAAAAGGCAAUUAUAGAGCUUAAGUCUUCAAGAGCAAAAGAUGUGUAUGGGAUGGAUACACUCAUGCUAAAACAAAUAGGUCAGUCAAUUAAGGGUCCAUUAACACAUAUCAUCAAUGUGUCACUAGAUCAAGGGAAAUUUCCUGAGUCAUGGAAAAUUGCUAGUGUCAUUCCUAUAUUUAAAGGUGGCAAUUCCCUUCUUACAUCUAAUUACCGACCGAUUAGCAUUUUGCCAACAGUAUCUAAAGUUUUUGAAAAAUUGGUUGCUAAACAAAUCAUCAAUCAUCUUAAUUGCAGUUCUUUUCCUUUGCACUCAAUGCAGUUUGGAUUUAGGGCUUAUCAUUCUACAGAGACAGCAACAUGUUAUUUUCUGGAAAAGGUUAAAUCAAAUAUAGACAAAGGAGGGAUAGUGGGAGGAAUAUUUUUAGAUCUUCGUAAAGCAUUCGAUACAGUUAACCAUUCAGUUUUACUGCACAAACUUCAUGCAUUUAAUUCUUCUUCAAUAUUUAUAAGUCUUAUUAACUCAUAUCUUUUAUCUCAUUCACAAAGUGUAAGAAUUGACCAAUAUAAUUCCACCCCCUUACUAUUAUCAACUGGUGUUCCACAGGGUUCAAUUUUAGGUCCAAUUCUUUUUAGUUUAUACAUUAACGAGUUACCAUCUUUGUGUAAGAACUGUGACACUUUGAUGUAUGCAGAUGACACAGUUAUUUUGGCCUAUGGAAAAUUUGCAGAGGAAGUUGCCUCUAAACUAACUGAGGCCAUGUCACUGAUUUCAAUCUGGCUUGAACAAUCCUGUCUGCAAUUGAAUAUAUCUAAAACAGUUACCAUGUUUUUUCUAAAAACAAUAUAAAUAUAGAACCUGAAAUUUUUAUAUCUGGAGAAAGGUUACAGGUCGUCACAGAAUAUAAAUAUUUAGGAUUAUACAUAGAUUCAAAUCUCAAUUUCAAAACUCACAUCAAAAAAGUUAGUAAUAGGAUUAAGUUCAGUCUAGCAAAUUUCAGAUUCAUUAGAGAUUUCAUGUCAACAGAAGCUGCUAAAUUAUAUUUCUUUUCCAUGAUUUUAUCCCACAUAACAUAUUGUUUAAUAAGCUGGUCCAAUACUCACUCUACAACAACAAAACCAUUAGAAAGAUUAUACAAACAAGCAUUAAAAAUACUGGAUAAAAAACCAUACCACUACCACCACUGUAGUAUUCUGAGGAAAUAUCAGUUACUUA
rnacentral:lncRNA from 1 species